rnacentral:rRNA from 1 species
CCAGACUCCUACGGGAGGCAGCAGUGGGGGAUAUUGCACAAUGGAGGAAACUCUGAUGCAGCGACGCCGCGUGAGGGAAGACGGUCUUCGGAUUGUAAACCUCUGUCUUUGGGGAAGAAAAUGACGGUACCCAAAGAGGAAGCUCCGGCUAACUACGUGCCAGCAGCCGCGGUAAUACGUAGGGAGCGAGCGUUGUCCGGAAUCAUUGGGCGUAAAGAGUUCGUAGGCGGCACGUAAAGUCUGGUGUUAAAGGCAGAGGCUCAACUUCUGUACGGCACUGGAUACUUGCGAGCUAGAAUGCGGUAGAGGUAAAGGGAAUUCCUGGUGUAGCGGUGAAAUGCUUAGAUAUCAGGAGGAACAUCGGUGGCGUAAGCGCUUUACUGGGCCGUAAUUGACGCUGAGGAACGAAAGCCAGGGUAGCAAAUGGGAUUAGAUACCCCAGUAG